rnacentral:rRNA from 1 species
CGGAUUGCAGGCUGCAACUCGCCUGCAUGAAGUCGGAAUUGCUAGUAAUCGCGGAUCAGCAUGCCGCGGUGAAUACGUUCCCGGGCCUUGUACACACCGCCCGUCACACCAUGGGAGCCGGUAAUACCCGAAGUCAGUAGUCCAACCUCGUGAGGACGCUGCCGAAGGUAGGAUUGGCGACUGGGGUGAAGUCGUAACAAGGUAAC